rnacentral:rRNA from 1 species
UACGUAGGGUCCUAGCGUUGUCCGGAAUCAUUGGGCGUAAAGAGCGUGUAGGCGGCUUGAUAGGUCCCGUGUUAAAGCCUGCGGCUCAACCGCAGAAUCGCACGGGAAACCAUCUGGCUCGAGUCCGGAAGAGGAGAGCGGAAUUCCUGGUGUAGCGGUGAAAUGCGCAGAUAUCAGGAAGAACACCCGUGGCGAAGGCGGCUCUCUGGGACGGUACUGACGCUGAGACGCGAAAGCGUGGGGAGCGAACAGG